CCUCCAUUUCAUUUUACAUAAAAAUAAAUAAAUAAUAUUCCCUCUCCCCCCUACAAUUCAUUUCAUUCCCCUCUUUACUUUCAAUCUCUUCCUCUCCCGCAAUAAACUCUAUUUCUCUCUCUAUACUUACUUACAGAGAGGCAACUGCAUGCUAAUGAUUCUACAGGUGCUGAUGAUUCUAGAGGGUUAAAGAGAGAGUUAUUGCUGCCAUUUUGUGAAUCUUUCCAGACCUUCAAGAUGUACAUUGGAUUAUUAUAGCAACAAAAAGGAGAUAAAUAAUUUUGGGAAUUUCUUAUUGGUUCAUCAAUUCGAGGAAGUAAUUUAGUAAUAUCAAGUUUUUGCUGAGAGUAGUUCAAGGAUUGCUACAGAAGAAUUUCAAAGGAACUCUGACAAGUCCGUCACAAGUAGCGGGAGAAGAAGAAAAUUUGCAUGAUUUGUCUGAUUUAAAUAACAAAGAUUAUUUUGAAUUGCUUAAAGAUGGAAGUGAAGAUUUGUAUGAAGGAUCCAAGUACUCAAAGUUGGAAUUUUUAUUAAAGCUUUAUCACAUAAAGUACUUGUCUGGGUUAAGUAAUAAGGGAAUGACUAUGGUGCUAGACCUACUCGGGGAUGUAUUUAAAUUGCAAAGAUCCCUAUAUCUUUUUAUGAUGCUAAGAAAACCAUCAACAAGUUGUGUCUUGAUUAUAUCAAGAUAGAUGCUUUCCUAAAUAAUUGCAUGUUGUACUGGGAAAAUGAUAUUAAUGUAGAAUCAUGUAAACAUUGUCACACUUCUAAAUAGAAGCUCGAGAAGGAUAGCGAUCUUGAUCAUGCUCCUAGUACAAGUAAGAAACAAAAGAAGAAGCAAAAAAAGAGUUUUUCAACAAGUUAGACCUCAUUUUGGUGGUACAAGUGCAUCAAGUAAUGAAGGUUCUUAUUCGUUCCAAUGUCGAAAAAACUAUAAUCAAAUGAUGAAUUCUCAGAAUCAAAUACUGAGUACUUUGAAGGCAUAUAUGAUAAUGAAAGAAGGAACGAUACCAGAACAAUUUGCGGGGCUCUUUGAUUCUCCUUCAAUGGUUUCUCCCACAACACCAAGUGAUGUGGCCAGUGAACCUAUUUCGCCUGUGGAUGCAAGGAGACCACAUGAUGAUUGUGAUCCUAAUGACAGUCAUUGAUUUCAUUGCAAGUUGUCUUGGAUAUUCAAGUAUGUCUUGGAUGUAUUUGUGUAUGUGGUUGGAGUGAAUCUUAAAACACUGAAGCUUUUGUGUUUAAAUUUGAUUUUGAAGAUACUACUUAAUGUUGAAA